AUCGAGGUACUAGCCCAGGGCAUGCGAUCUUUCUGCAUAUCCCUUCUCAAUGUCCUCGUAGAU
rnacentral:snoRNA from 1 species